GGUCCGAUGCCACGUCGUUAAUAGCUAAUUAGCUAUGAUUUUCGAUGCUAUGAUUAGACCAAGAUUAAAUUUUAAUUAGUGUUUCGCAUUUUGAUAGGAAUCCGUUGGUCUUAUUAGUGAUUAAACGGAGCCGUUUUGUGCGAUUACAUUU
rfam:Spinacia oleracea cultivar SynViroflay scaffold14112.con0004.1, whole genome shotgun sequence.